CCUACGGGCGGCAGCAGUGAGGAAUAUUGGUCAAUGGGCGAGAGCCUGAACCAGCCAAGUCGCGUGAGGGAGUACUGCCCUAUGGGUUGUAAACCUCUUUUGUCGGGGAGCAAAAGCCGGACGUUUCCGGCUGUGAGAGUACCCGAAGAAAAAGCAUCGGCUAACUCCGUGCCAGCAGCCGCGGUAUUACGGAGGAUGCGAGCGUUAUCCGGAUUUAUUGGGUUUAAAGGGUGCGCAGGCGGAUUUUUAAGUCAGCGGUAAAAUCGUGGGGCUCAACCCCAUCCAGCCGUUGAAACUGGGGAUCUAGAGUGUGCGAGAGGUAUGCGGAAUGCGUGGUGUAGCGGUGAAAUGCAUAGAUAUCACGCAGAACCCCGAUUGCGAAGGCAGCAUACCGGUGCACAACUGACGCUCAGGCACGAAAGCGUGGGUAUCGAACAGGAUUAGAUACCCCUGUAGUC
rnacentral:rRNA from 1 species